rnacentral:rRNA from 1 species
AGCGAACGCUGGCGGCAGGCCUAACACAUGCAAGUCGAGCGCCCCGCAAGGGGAGCGGCAGACGGGAGAGUAACACGUGGGAACGUGCCCUUUGGUUCGGAACAACCCAGGGAAACUUGGGCUAAUACCGGAUAAGCCCUCACGGGGAAAGAUUUAUCGCCGAAGGAUCGGCCCGCGUCUGAUUAGCUAGUUGGUGGGGUAAUGGCCCACCAAGGCGACGAUCAGUAGCUGGUCUGAGAGGAUGAUCAGCCUCACUGGGACUGAGACACGGCCCAGACUCCUACGGGAGGCAGCAGUGGGGAAUAUUGGACAAUGGGCGCAAGCCUGAUCCAGCCAUGCCGCGUGGGUGAUGAAGGCCCUAGGGUUGUAAAGCCCUUUCGGCGGGGAAGAUAAUGACGGUACCCGCAGAAGAAGCCCCGGCUAACUUCGUGCCAGCAGCAGCCGCCG